UACGUAGGGUGCAGGCGUUAAUCGGAAUUACUGGGCGUAAAGCGUGCGCAGGCGGUUUGCUAAGACAGGUGUGAAAUCCCCGGGCUUAACCUGGGAACUGCGCUUGUAACUGGCAAGCUGGAGUGUGGCAGAGGGGGGUGGAAUUCCACGUGUAGCAGUGAAAUGCGUAGAGAUGUGGAGGAAUACCGAUGGCGAAGGCAGCCUCCUGGGCCAACACUGACGCUCAUGCACGAAAGCGUGGGGAGCAAACAGG
rnacentral:rRNA from 1 species